rnacentral:rRNA from 1 species
GGCUCAACCUGGGAACUGCGUUNUGAACUGGGUGACUAGAGUGUGUCAGAGGGAGGUAGAAUUCCACGUGUAGCAGUGAAANGCGUAGAGAUGUGGAGGAAUACCGAUGGCGAAGGCANCCUCCUGGGAUAACACUGACGUUCAUGCCCGAAAGCGUGGGUAGCAAACAGGAUUAGAUACCCUGGUAGUCCACGCCCUAAACGAUGUCGAUUAGCUGUUGGGCAGCAUGACUGCUUAGUAGCGAAGCUAACGCGUGAAAUCGACCGCCUGGGGAGUACGGUCGCAAGAUUAAAACUCAAAGGAAUUGACGGGGACCCGCACAAGCGGUGGAUGAUGUGGAUUAAUUCGAUGCAACGCGAAGAACCUUACUUGGUCUUGACAUGUACGGAACCCUCCAGAGACGGAGGGGUGCCUUCGGGAGCCGUAACACAGGUGCUGCAUGGCUGUCGUCAGCUCGUGUCGUGAGAUGUUGGGUUAAGUCCCGCAACGAGCGCAACCCUUGUCAUUAGUUGCCAUCAUUAAGUUGGGCACUCUAANGAGACUGCCGGUGACAAGCCGGAGGAAGGUGGGGAUGACGUCAAGUCCUCAUGGCCCUUAUGACCAGGGCUUCACACGUCAUACAAUGGUCGGUACAGAGGGUAGCCAAGCCGCGAGGUGGAGCCAAUCUCACAAAACCGAUCGUAGUCCGGAUUGCACUCUGCAACUCGAGUGCAUGAAGUCGGAAUCGCUAGUAAUCGCAGGUCAGCAUACUGCGGUGAAUACGUUCCCGGGUCUUGUACACACCGCCCGUCACACCAUGGGAGUGGGGGAUACCAGAAGUAGGUAGGGUAACCGCAAGGAGCC